rnacentral:rRNA from 1 species
AAGGAAAGCUUGCUUUUCUGAAUCUAGUGGCGAACGGGUGAGUAACACGUAGGUAACCUGCCCAUGUGCCCGGGAUAACUUCUGGAAACGGAUGCUAAUACCGCAUAAGAUUACAGUACCGCAUGAUACAGUGAUCAAAGGAGCAAUCCGCUGAAAGAUGGGCUCGCGUCCGAUUAGAUAGUUGGUGAGGUAACGGCUCACCAAACCGACGAUCGGUAGCCGGACUGAGAGGUUGAACGGCCACAUUGGAACUGAGACACGGUCCAAACUCC